UACAGAGGCCUCGAGCGUUAGGCGGAAUCACUGGGCUUAAAGCGUGUGUAGGCGGAUGUCUAAGUGCUUUGUGAAAUCCCACGGCUCAACCGUGGAAUUGCUUGGCAUACUGGAUGACUUGAGCCAUCUAGGGGCGAGCGGAACAAGUGGUGGAGCGGUGAAAUGCGUAGAUAUCACUUGGAACGCCAACGGUGAAAACAGCUCGCUGGGGAUGUGCUGACGCUGAGACACGAAAGCCAGGGGAGCGAACGGG
rnacentral:rRNA from 1 species